GCAUGGUAGCUGAGUAGGUAAAGCGUUUAUAGAUAUUUACUCGUGAUUAAAGGGCGACGGUUCGAUUCCAUCCUUGAGCA